rnacentral:rRNA from 1 species
AUACGUAGGUGACAAGCGUUAUCCGGAUUUACUGGGCGUAAAGGGCGUGUAGGCGGUCUUGCAAGUCAGAAGUGAAAUUCCUGAGCUCAACUCGGGCGCUGCUUCUGAAACUGCAGGACUUGAGUGCUGGAGGGGAUAGCGGAAUUCCUAGUGGAGCGGUAAAAUGCGCAGAUAUUAGGAAGAACACCGGUGGCGAAGGCGGCUGUCUGGACAGUAACGGACGCUGAGGCGCGAAAGCGUGGGGAGCAAACAGGAUUAGAUCCCCUGGUAGUCCACGCCGUAAACGAUGAAUACUAGGUGUAGGGGUUGUCAUGACCUCUGUGCCGCCGCUAACGCAUUAAGUAUUCCGCCUGGGGAGUACGGUCGCAAGAUUAAAACUUAAAGGAAUUGACGGGG